rnacentral:rRNA from 1 species
UACGUAGGGUGCGAGCGUUAAUCGGAAUUACUGGGCGUAAAGCGUGCGCAGGCGGUUCGCCAAGUCAGGUGUGAAAUCCCCGGGCUUAACCUGGGAAUUGCGCUUGAAACUAGCGGGCUUGAGUGUGGCAGAGGGGGGUGGAAUUCCGCGUGUAGCAGUGAAAUGCGUAGAGAUGCGGAGGAACACCGAUGGCGAAGGCAGCCCCCUGGGCCAACACUGACGCUCAGGCACGAAAGCGUGGGGAGCAAACAGG